rnacentral:tRNA from 1 species
CAGAAAGUAGUUUAAUUUAUAAAAUUAUAAUUUUGGGAAUUUUGGAUAACAUUUUAUUUGUUCUUUUUGA